GUGAGGAAUAUUGGUCAAUGGGCGAGAGCCUGAACCAGCCAAGUCGCGUGAAGGAAGAAGGAUCUAUGGUUCGUAAACUUCUUUUGCAGGGGAAUAAAGUGCGGGACGAGUCCUGUUUUGUAUGUACCCUGAGAAUAAGGAUCGGCUAACUCCGUGCCAGCAGCCGCGGUAAUACGGAGGAUCCGAGCGUUAUCCGGAUUUAUUGGGUUUAAAGGGUGCGUAGGUGGUUUGAUAAGUCAGCGGUGAAAGUUUGCAGCUUAACUGUAAAGAUGCCGUUGAAACUGUCGGACUUGAGUGUAAAUGAGGUAGGCGGAAUGCGUGGUGUAGCGGUGAAAUGCAUAGAUAUCACGCAGAACUCCGAUUGCGAAGGCAGCUUACUAAGCUACAACUGACACUGAAGCACGAAAGCGUGGGGAUCAAACAGGAUUAGAAACCCUUGUAGUCC
rnacentral:rRNA from 1 species